UUUCGGUCAAUGUAUUUCAAGCAG
rnacentral:miRNA from 1 species